AGGAUCUCUGCAGUCGUCCUCUCAGCUGACACGUCUGUCCGGAUUCUCUGCCUGGAAACAUCUGAAACUAAUCGGAACCGCCGUCAGACAGAGACGGACGGACCUCACCGACUGCGAGGGCUCGGUUAGGUCUGAAAACCGAUGAUGGGAGGAGGUCAGAGUCACGAGAAGGAUCCUGAGGAGGGAAGAGGAGCAGCUGAAGAACAUCAGGAGUCUAACCAGUCUAAAGGUCAAGCCUCUGAAGAGACGCCAGGUGAGCUGCCCCAGUGCAGGAUGGGAAGCAGGAAGGUGGACGACAUGUGCUUCAUGAUCUCCUGCACCAACUGGUACUGAACGGAUGAGGACUGCUGAGGAUGCUCCGUUCUAGCUUUGCUUCCGUCAGACCCGCUGCUGCUUUGGUGUUGAGGGUUUAUUUCUGCUCAGAUUCAGCCGAACGUCCCAGAAACGGACCUGCAGGAAGGUUUGAUCCUAAAUCUGCAGGAGAGUAACAGCCAGCCGUCGCUUAGCGAUGCAGAUCUUAGUCUAUCGAAGGAAAAGCUGAGCAGCUGCUGCGGUGAGGCUGAAUGAUGAAGUCCAGACCUUGCAGUGUUUCAGUGGAGAAUCAUAUGAUGGACGAGGAUUCAUGGAGUCACCCGUCCUACAAAGGCUCAUCAACCUGGAACUAAAAUCGCUGCACAUGGCUGCAAACUGAGGCCAGAAGCUGAAAUUACAGAUUAGUUUUAUAAAUUAGUAACAAAGCUCUGAAGACUGAAGGUUUAACAUUCUUGGUUCAGGAACAUUUGGUGGAAACCUGCUGCUGUUGAGUUUUCCAUCUUUCUACUGAAAUGCUUCAGUUUUUCCACAGCUUUGAUAGAAAUGAUUUAACUUCCUGCUCAGUAAAAUCAGCUGCUGGGUAAACUGGUGUGAAGGUGAUUUAUCUGUUGGUCUGAUGCAAAAUAAAGAUGAAAUUACAAAAUAAA